UUUUUGUGCUUAAUAUUUAUAUUAAAUAUAUAUUUUUUGGGUUAAUUUCAAAGAGUUCUCUACAAAUAUAAUAAAUUAUAAAUAUAUUUCUAUAAAGUUCAAUACAAUCGUUAGUAAAAAAAUAAUAGUUAACUAUAGAUAUUAUACUUAAUCCUAAUUAAUUUAUGAGGUGAAUUGAUAUUUUUACUUAUUUUAAUUAAUAAUUUGGACUUUUGGAGGAAUAUAUUUGAUAUAUUUGAAAGGAUUAAUUGCAUGCAGGUCCCCGCAAGUAUAGCGAAUUAUAAAUAUAUUCUUAUAAAGUUUAAUUUUUAUAAUUUAUUUUUGCAAAAGUUUUAAUAUUUUCAGAUAUGUCCCUUUAGUUUGUUACCGUUAAAAAACUGUUUAUAUUUCUAAUUUUGUCAUCAUAAAUAUAUCCCUUCAAAAUUUAUAAUAUAAUAAUAUAAAAGGGGUAAAAAUAUCAAAUAUUAACCAAAAUGAAGUAUUUAACCUAUGUUUAACUAAACUUUUCUAACGGCGGGGACAUAUCUGAAAAUAUUAGGAAGUUUGCAGAAAUAACUUAUGAAAAUUAAACUUUAUAAGAACAAAUUUGUAAUUUAUUAUGUUUGUGGGGACCUGUAUGCAAUUAACCCUAUUUGAAAAUAUUAGAAUUUUUGAAUGAAUAAUAUAUGAAAGUUGAAUUUUCUAGAAAUAUAUUUGUAAUUUACUAUAUUUAAAGACACCGGUAUAAAAUUAACUUUUUUUUUAUUCUCUGUUUUUUCAUUUAAAUCUAGAAGAAACUUCAGAUA
rnacentral:lncRNA from 1 species